rnacentral:rRNA from 2 species
GACAGAGGGGGCAAGCGUUGCUCGGAAUUACUGGGCGUAAAGGGCGCGUAGGCGGGAUGGCAAGUCGGUCGUGAAAUCCCUCGGCUCAACUGAGGAUCGUCGAUCGAUACUGCCGUUCUUGAGGAUUGCAGAGGAGACUGGAAUUCCCGGUGUAGCGGUGAAAUGUGUAGAGAUCGGGAGGAACACCGGUGGCGAAGGCGGGUCUCUGGGCAAUUCCUGACGCUGAGGCGCGAAAGCGUGGGGAGCAAACGGG